UACGUAGGCAGCAAGCGUUGUUCGGAGUUACUGGGCGUAAAGGGUGCGUAGGCGGCUUUUUAAGUCUGGUGUGAAAUCUCCCGGCUCAACCGGGAGGGUGCGCCGAAUACUGAGUGACUAGAGUGCGGGAGAGGAAAGUGGAAUUCCUGGUGUAGCGGUGAAAUGCGUAGAUAUCAGGAGGAACACCGGUGGUGUAGACGGCUUUCUGGACCGUAACUGACGCUGAGACACGAAAGCGUGGGUAGCAAACAGG
rnacentral:rRNA from 1 species